AUUGGUUGUUACCAGCGGAUGGGUGGAGCGAAGCGGGCGGCUCCGCCCCGGCAUGGCCGGGCCUGCGGGAGCGGAGCGGCGUGAGGGGUCCUGAUGACAUCUUUAUAUUGAUUUCUCUCUUCCUGUGGAGAAGGAAGCAUCUAUGGGGAAUAUAUACCUAGGAAUAUGUUAGAGUGGUUUUCCCUUAACAGGAGAAGCCACUUUGUUUCUGUUAAGGAAGUAGCAAAACCUCAUUUGCUUCAUGCUCUAAUUUUUGAAGACUGCCUAGAUGAGCUGUGAAUGUACCUUAGGUUCACUAAAGAAUUUUUGAAAGACUUGCAAAGUCCUGGUAGCAGGAUACUGAACAACUCCAAUGCUGCUGUUAAUGUUGAUGAAAUUGUACUGAGCAACACCAAAGCAUCCCGAGGGCAUGUGAUGUACAUGACUCUAUAGAAAUCAUAAAUUAGUAUUUUGUUUUAGAGCAAGAAACUUCACAAAUGAGCAUUUAUUUGACUGCUAAGGACAGGAGGUUUCAAAGGAGUCAGAUCCAAGUUGGCAUCCUGCAGCCAUCCCCAGGAAGACACAAAAUGUGCCAGGUAAUUGCUGAGCCUGUCGCUGUGCUGGGUUUGGUGCUUGUUACUCAGCUAAGCUUUAAAGGGCAGUUUAUUGUGUAAAAGUCAUUACAGCUGCUCAGAACUGGGAGGCUUUGAUGUGGGUGGUUCUCUGCAGGUCUUGGAGCUGGCCAAAUCCAAGUUUGGCAGGGACAGGGUGUUGUGCAGGAGUGGAAAGCAGCCAGGGCCUGGCAGGCAGACAUCUGGUGGGCAUUUUGGGGAGAAAAGAGGGAUUAAUCCUGGAAGAAGGAGCUGUAGAGGCCCUGGAGCAGUGUGGGAUAAGGUAAUUUGUGUGUUAGUGAAUUCUGCACUGAGGGAUGAACCUCCCCAAGAGCUCUGCAGUGCUGGGGGUGCGUGUCCCAUGCCUGCCCAGCUUCUCCCUGAGCAGCAGACAAAUAGAAUAGGAAGGAUAACAGGAAAAUAAACUUAUCCUGAGAAGGAAUCAUCAGUCAAAUGCUUAUUUAUGAGUUGGUGCACCAGAGUCACCAGGACGUUAACAAAAAGUAAAAAUUGUUUAGAACCUCAGAAAAUCUCGCACCUCAAUGUGAUCUGUGUGUUCUUACUGGCUCUCUGAAGGAAGAGAAGUAUCUUCACGGAUCUCAUAGCUACUGGAGAAGACAGAAAUGAGACAGUUUCUAUUAUUAUUCCAUAGUGGCAAAGUAGAAGGGUCAGGGAUACAAAGAUAAUAAAGCAUCAGGAACAAAUCUCAUUUAUUAGGUGUUUUGGGGAGAUUCAUAUUACUGCAUUUCCCCACAUUAUUCAAUAACCUUGCUCUCCUGCUUACAGGAGAAGGAGGAUAUUGGAGAUUCUUAUCUUCUGAAACAGAGCUAAAGUGGAGGGAAAAUGAGACAGACACCUGGUUCAGUGGAUUAAACGUUAGAAGAUGUCUCUUAAUCUGGAAAGAGCAGAGUGGGGUCCUGUACUUUGUGCAGCAAACUUUGUUCUUGUGUUCUCCGAGCACUGUCACCGUGAUAUCUGGAGCACUGCUGCUCCCUAGAGUCAGAAAAACAACCUUCCAUCCUGAAAAAUCAGGUGUCAAACAAGAGCAAACCACGUCACACAGGUUUUCUUUCCUCCUGUGUUCAGUGGAAGGAUGUUUUGUUCUGAUAUGAAUGUUCUACGUGGCUGGGGCUGGAAUAAUUGCAAUGUAAUGCUUGGACAUUAAAGAUCUUCAGCCUACAAAGUGCUAAUCUUGCAUGUGGAAAGGUGAAAGCAGCUUUAGUCUUGUCUCUCAUGUAAUUAGAACCCCCAGAGGAGGAAAAUGUUUUUCCAAUAACCAGAAAAGAAUUAAAUUAGGUUCUCCAUCAGAAUUUUGCUUUAUAAAAGCAGAUAAUAAUGAAUGCAAAGACUUAUUUAACAAUAAACCACUCUCAUCAGCUGGCA